rnacentral:lncRNA from 1 species
UUUGACAUAAUCAUAUAAAUGGAAUUUAAUUUGCUCCUUUUUAGUCCCUGGUUCCUUUAUUUCCCUCCCCUCCCCCCUCUCAAUUUGAGCGCGUGCUAAGUGGUCCACUCUGUAUCAUCCUUCCUCUUACGCUACGGAUCUCCAUUUUAUUGGUUUAUUUACUUAUUAAUUUAGUGCUUUAUAGAGGUACCUAGAGGUGGAAUUCGCCGUGACCUAUUUACACAGGCACACAACGUGACUUUGUCGAAUUCAUCCUGCGUUUGCUCCCCUUUCCUGUCCCUCCUCUCCCCACCCAUCUCCUUCCACUUCACCAUCUUCCCUCUGCCGUAUGGUGAGCGACCUCCCCUCUCCCCUCCAUACUUUGUUCUAGUUCUGCGUAUGGGAGAACGAGGAGUGACAGCUGAUGGGUAUGAAGUUUCCUAUUGAGGCCGUGAAAUGUUGUAAAAUUGCUGGGGUGAUGGUUGUGCAUCAACCUUGACUUUCUGAGUCUGGCUGACUUCACUUAGCACGAUGUUCUCCAGUUCCACCCAUUUACCAGCAGAUGCGGUGAUUCCUUUCUUCUUUGUGACUGAGUAUGAAUGGGCUGAGAAAAUGUGGCUUUCAUACACGGUGGGGUCCCUUUGUUCUCACCUCGAGUGCUCUGUAAUCUCUUCUCCCCACACCAACCAGACUCAUCCACAAAGUCGGAAAACAGGUCAGUGGCUGACGGGGCAGGGGAGCGAUGGGGUGGGAAUGAGGAGUGACAGCUGAUAGGUAUGAAGUUUCCUAUUGAGGCCGUGAAAUGUUGUAAAAUUGCUGGGGUGAUGGUUGUGCAGCUAUGAAUAUUUGAUCCCUGCCUGGAAACUUCUUCCACCAAUAUUUGCCCCCCACUUCCGGUCCUCACUGCCCUUCCCUCUCCCUGGAUAUUUCUUCAAGUAUUUUUACCCACCUGGCGUGUUUUGCAUUUGUAUUUUAUUGAUUAUCUGCUCCCUCCAUUCCUUCUCCUCCUCCCUGAAGUGCACCAGA